rnacentral:lncRNA from 10 species
UCUCAUGUAAGUCAACAACAUCCUGGGAUUGGGACACACUUUCUGGGCACUGCUGGCCAGUCCCAAAAUGGAACAUAAGGAAGUGGUUCUUCUACUUCUUUUAUUUCUGAAAUCAGGUCAAGGAGAGCCCCUGGAUGACUAUGUGAAUACCCAGGGGCCUUCACUGUUCAGUGUCACUAAGAAGCAGCUGGGGGCAGGAAGCAGAGAAGAAUGUGCAGCAAAAUGUGAAGAGGACAAAGAAUUCACCUGCAGGGCAUUCCAAUAUCACAGUAAAGAGCAACAAUGUGUGAUAAUGGCUGAAAACAGGAAGUCCUCCAUAAUCAUUAGGAUGAGAGAUGCAGUUUUAUUUGAAAAGUAAAUGUAUCUUUCAGAGUGCAAGACUGGGAAUGGAAAGAACUACAGAGGGACGAUGUCCAAAACAAAAAAUGGCAUCACCUGUCAAAAAUGGAGUUCCACUUCUCCCCGCAGACCUAGGGCUGCAAUCAAGAUGUUGGCAUGGCUGGGGUCUCAUCUGAAGGCUGGACUGGAGAAGAAUCUACUUCCAAACUUAUGUGGUAGUUGGAAGAAUUUAGUUCCUCAAGGCUGCUAAACUGAUGGCCUGUGUUCCUUGCCUCUGGGAUGGUAGCUUGCUUCAACAAAGUGUGCAAGCAGAGAAGACAGAGAGAGUCCGCUAGCAAGAUAGAAGCCACAAUCUCUUGUAAUCUAUCAUUUUUGCUGUAUGCUACUGGUUAAAAAUAACUCAUUAGGUUAGCCUACUGGCUCUCAGGGGGAAGAGAUUAUACAAAGGCAUGAAUUUCUGGAGGAGGGAAUGAGGGCAAAGAACUCUGAAAAGUUUCUCUUCCACAAUCUGAAGAACUUCUAGAAAGUAGAAGGAAGCAAUAUUGCUUAGGGAUGGACAACUUGGCACUGGUUAUGUGUUCCAAGUGAGGUAACCUUGUUCCCAGGAAUAAAGAGAACCAGAUGACUGUAAACAUUUCCCUAAACUGAAAUGCACUGUUGUAUGUUCACCUGAAAUGAAUGGUGUAAGCUGAAUAUGAGAUUUUUGACAAAAUAAAAAUUUUGCUGUGUUCUCAGAUCUGGCAGGCUAUUGUGAGGCAAUGUGUCAUUUUACCUUAUAACGCAGAGUUGUAACAUGCUACUCUGAGCAGCUCAUGACAUCUGCUUGAAAUUUAAGUUGGGCCCCUAGUAUGUGUUUAUUAUAAAGAUUUUGAUGCUGCUUUUCAGAGUUGGGUAACCUACUUUACCCCCUUAGCUAAUGUUUCCCAAAUACACCCAAACCCACAGAAAGGAAAACUAUUCCUCAUUAACUCACAGCCAACAUCAUAAACAUUUUAUAUCUAGAGCUGAUGAUACAGUCAGGUAUUUACCAACACUCAUGUAUAUAUGUAGAGUUUCAAGAAAUAAUUGCUUAUCCUUACUAGAUUCAACAUAUUCUAAUGUUUCACAUAUUAUUUUUAUUUCUUAAUUUUUUUUUUAAAGAUGGGGUUUUACUCUGUUGCCCAGGCUGAAAUGCAGUGGCAUGACCAGGAUUUCGACCAGAAGUUUGACUGCAGCCUCAAACUCCUUAUAACAAAGAAUCCUGCUGCCUUAG